rnacentral:rRNA from 1 species
UGGGGAAUAUUGCACAAUGGGCGAAAGCCUGAUGCAGCAACGCCGCGUGAGUGAUGAAGGCCUUCGGGUUGUAAAGCUCUGUCUUUUGGGACGAUAAUGACGGUACCAAAGGAGGAAGCCACGGCUAACUACGUGCCAGCAGCCGCGGUAAUACGUAGGUGGCAAGCGUUGUCCGGAUUUACUGGGCGUAAAGGAUGCGUAGGCGGAUUUUUAAGUGAGAUGUGAAAACCCUAAGCUUAACUUGGGGACUGCAUUUCAUACUGGAAAUCUAGAGUGCGGGAGAGGAGAAUGGAAUUCCUAGUGUAGCGGUGAAAUGCGUAGAGAUUAGGAAGAACACCAGUGGCGAAGGCGAUUCUCUGGACCGUAACUGACGCUGAGGCGUGAAAGCGUGGGUAGCAAACAGGAUUAGAUACCCUGGUAGUCCACGCCGUAAACGAUGAGUACUAGGUGUAGGAGGUAUCGACCCCUUCUGUGCCGCAGUUAACACAAUAAGUACUCCGCCUGGGAAGUACGAUCGCAAGAUUAAAAACUCAAAUGAAUUGACGGGGGUCAUAGCUG